AGUAGGUACAACUCCCACCAGCUGGUAAGGCCUGGAACUCACCUUACUAUGAUGUUUCUCUGGUGACCAAGACGACCCUUGGACUUUCAGUGGAGAAGCAAGAGGAGUGGUUUCCUUUCAUCCACUAACAGUAAUUAAAACAAUGCAACAAUACCAGAAUCACUUAGAGUUGGUGCUCCAUUUCUGCAUCUUAAAAGUCAGAGAGCCACCAACCAGUGAGGAAGCCCAAGCAGCUACACAGAGAGGCUACAUGGAGAACCAAGACCCUUUGCCCACAGCUCCAACUGAACUCCCAUCUGGCAGCCAGAAACAACUUCCAGACAUAUGGGAAUUAGGCUCCAACAGGUCUGAGACCAUGUCUUCUGAAAAUCGUGGAUGCCCAAUAAAUAUGAUUUGAAACUGUCUUGCUGGAAGGACUAAGGCUCUCUAUACUCUAGUCAAGGCCAGAAAGUCUACCCUUUACUCAGCUAAUGGUGUCUCCUCCUUUCUUCAUCUUGCCUGCUAUUAAAUAGAGCUUUAUAUAGUACCCAGACUGUCAGCCCUCUCAGAUGAAUUACUUUUUCUGAAAAUAAAAUAAAAUAAAAUGAUUCAUGGUCUUGACCCUUGGGGCUGGAAAGUAAUGUCUCAUUGAGUGAAAAGGCAGCAUAAAACUUUAGAAAAACUGCAAUUUAUAUUUCAGCUCAUACCUGCUAACUUUCCAGCAGUUGAUGGAAAUUAUUGUGAAGAAACAAAAAAGAAUUUGGCCAUGUGGUAUGGAAAUAGCAAUAAAAAACUAUUCUGCAUAUAAAAAAUAAAGGAAAGCAAUUAUUAGUAGUCCAACUACUAGUAGGGUUCAGUCAUUGGUUCUUUUACUCAUUCAGGAUAUUAUAAUCUCUUUGGGGAAAGUUUAUUCCAAAACAUUACUCCUAAUAACUCAUUUGUUGUCUUAUUUAUGUGAAGUAGAUCCACUAAUUCUAGCACAGAAAGACAAAAAUGUGUAAGUAAAAUAUAUUUGGUUUAAGUAGAGUGUAGGAAUGAGAUCAAAUUAUUUUACCAGUUUGAAUAUCAAAAUUCUUAAAGAUUAAUUAAAGAGGGAAUAAAGAGGAACAGAAAACACUAAGUCCAGUCACUCUUCUUAUGUUUU